rnacentral:rRNA from 1 species
GUGUCAGCAGCCGCGGUAAGACGUAGGGGCCAAGCGUUGUCCGGAAUUACUGGGCGUAAAGCGCGCGCAGGCGGACCAGCGCAUCAUCGGUGAAAGCCCCCCGCUCAACGGGGGAGGGUCCGGUGAGAUGGCUGGUCUGGAGGCAGGGAGAGGCGAGUGGAAUUCCGGGUGUAGUGGUGAAAUGCGUAGAGAUCCGGAGGAACACCAGUGGCGAAGGCGGCUCGCUGGACCUGACCUGACGCUGAGGCGCGAAGGCGUGGGGAGCGAACGGGAUUAGAUACCCCGGUAGUCC